UAGGGAAUAUUGCGCAAUGGACGAAAGUCUGACGCAGCAACGCCGCGUGGAUGAUGAAGCAUUUCGGUGUGUAAAAUCCUGUCGGUGGGGAAGAAAAGUAUGAUGAGUAACUGCUUCAUACCUGACGGUACCCACAGAGGAAGUCCCGGCUAACUCCGUGCCAGCAGCCGCGGUAAUACGGGGGGGACGAGCGUUGUUCGGAUUUACUGGGCGUAAAGGGCGCGUAGGCGGGUCUUCAAGUCGGAUGUGAAAACUACCAGCUUAACUGGUAGCCUGCAUUUGAUACUGUUGAUCUUGAGUACGGGAGAGGAGAGUGGAAUUCCAGGUGUAGCGGUGAAAUGCGUAGAUAUCUGGAAGAACACCAGUAGCGAAGGCGGCUCUCUGGACCGAUACUGACGCUCAAGCGCGAAGGCUUGGGGAGCAAACAGG
rnacentral:rRNA from 1 species